rnacentral:sRNA from 1 species
AGUCAGAGCGGAAGUGGGCACCAGUUCAGUUUCCAAGGCAAAGAGAUCCACAUCCAUAGCCAGGAGGAUGUCAUAGAUGCUGAUGAUGUCACAUAUAUACCAGGAGGACAUCACAGAUGCUGAUGAUGUCACAUCCAUAGCCAGGAGGACGUCACAGAUGCUGAUGAUGUCACAUCCAUAGCCAGGAUGAUGUCACAGAUACUGGUGAUAGUCAGGAUGGGUAGUGGAUCUGCAAAGGGAGCUUAGAGUUGAGAGACUGGGGCUGAGAGCCAAGCUGGCUGGGUAUGUGUUUAAGCCUAGAACUGAUAUUUUCAUAAGCGCGCUUGUCAGCUUCACUGCAUCUGGAGUCUACUAAGAGACGUGCCCUUUGAAAGGCCCAAGUGAGAGCAAUUCCAGGAAGAAUUAACCAAGAGAGGAGGACUUUGUGCUGGGAGCCCCGAUAUAGAGAGGUCUGGGGGCAAAGCAGCGCUACUCUGCCUGCUUGACUUUGCAGCUUGCUCUUGAGUGCAUCUAUCUUGUUGCCACCAUAGUUGCUGCCACUGCCGCCAUUUUUCCACUAGCAUUAGGAUACAGCCUUCUCAGCCUGCCAAUGAGCACCAAAGACAAGUGGCUCUCCAGGGAGCCUUCAGGCCUCCAGUGCCAGACUGGGGCUACUGAGGCAAGAGAGAUAGCAGCUACUGGGCCCUCAGUCAUCUCCGGCACGCAGACGGCCAUUGUUGGAGCGCUCCGUCCUUAUCUUGAGGGCUGAUCUUGUAGCUCCUUUGUUGUAUAUGCUAGUCAUUUGUUGUUGUUGCUCUGCUAAAACAUCACGGUCAAAGGCAACCUAAGGAAGAGAUUUAUUUUGAGUUGCAGCUUCAGAGGCACGGCGGCGGGCGAGCAGCAGGCAAGGUGGCAGGACCCCGAGAGAUCACAUUUUCAACUACAAACAGGAAUAGGAGACAGCAAACUGGAGCUGGAAUGAGGCUGUGGACUCUCAAGCUCAUCCCUAUUGAACUACCUCAAGCAAGUCUGUGUUACCUCAUCAGAUAGCGCCACAUUCUGGGGGACCAAGAGUUCCAACACUUGAGCCUGGGGUCACUUUCCCAUUCAAACUCCCACAGGAUACAUAUUUGUAAAUGUGCAUGUAAUUCUUCUUCCCGUCAAUUUUAUUUUUAAAUUAUUUUAUUAAUUUU